GACGUAGGGCGCGAGCGUUGUCCGGAUUUAUUGGGCGUAAAGAGCUCGUAGGCGGCUUGUCGCGUCGACUGUGAAAACCCGCGGCUCAACUGCGGGCCUGCAGUCGAUACGGGCAGGCUAGAGUUCGGUAGGGGAGACUGGAAUUCCUGGUGUAGCGGUGAAAUGCGCAGAUAUCAGGAGGAACACCGGCGGCGAAGGCGGAUCUCUGGGCCGAUACUGACGCUGAGGAGCGAAAGCCAGGGGAGCAAACGGG
rnacentral:rRNA from 1 species